rnacentral:tmRNA from 1 species
CCCCUUUUCCAAAGCUCCCGAAGGCACUAUAUUGGGGGUGUCGGGCAACCGACUAUGGCGAUAAACGUCGUUCGGAAUAAGCGUUGCGGACCCGGGGGCAGUACCCGGCGCCUCCACCAAAUUCCCGGGCGCCCGUCGGGGCGCCCUGCCAAGGGGGCGAUACAGGAUCGACGUGCGCGGUAAAGGUGCGGUUUUCGCCCGGUAUGGUACCACCGUUAUCGGGCCAAACUCACAAAUGCCAAUGAUAACGAGGCAUUUGCUGUAGCCGCUUAGGCUGCAACGGGGUUCGGAGGGCACCUGGCAACAGAAGCCCUCCACU